GAGGCGGGGGGGCAUAGACGCAGCAAUGUGGUUAAGAAGUUGCUUCACAAUCAGAUGGUUUCAGGUUUAGCCACACUACAUGACAGCUUGGUGAAAAUCGUGCGGGUCAAAGGAUCAAAUAAUACCGAAACGCACGCACGCACGCACACACACAGACAAGAGCAAGCGCGUGCGACACACACACAGAGAGGAACAAGCAGGUACGUACAACCCAUUAGCUUUCUUCUCCUCCUAUUUCGUCAACUGAAAGUUGACAAGACAAGGCACGUGCUUUUCACGGAAACAGCCGAAUUGGAGUGUUUUGAUUUUGUCGAGUCAUAUCGAAGGAAUACCCAUUAGGUAUAUGAAAUAACGGGACGUCACUGUCGUUAGACCCCGGUUUCUAUCGCAAUUUAUAUUCAUUUUUUAGAACAAUUUACUUUCGCAUUUUCACUACGGUAAACCGUGUGUUAACCUUAUGUACAACACAUCACCUCCAAAAGAGUUUAUAAAUAUCUCGUAGAUAUUAUUCAGGCGGCGAGCUUGUAGAAUCGUUAGCAUGUCGGAUAAAGUGCUUAGCGGUAUUUCUUCUGGCCCUUUACGUUCUGAGUUCGAAUAUCGCUCAGGUCAACUUUGCUGUUCAUCCCUUCGGAGUUGAUAAAUUAAAAUAAAUGCCUAUCAAGUACUGGGGUCAUUGUAAUUGACUUGCCUCCUCCCCUCAAAAAUCGCUGGCCUUGAACCUUGCAAUGGACCAGGAAAAUGUUAUGAUCUCAGUUACAUAAACAACAUGGGAACCGGGUAAGAGGCCUCACGAGUCCUAGAGCUUAUUUACGUUGUGAAAGAGAGAAACUGAAUUUUAACCACGUGGUUUAUAGCUAAAGUCAAAUUGCAUCACUUCAUAAAUAACAAAGAAUGGAUAUGAGGACGUUUCAUAGUCGAUUGAUGUGUUCACUAAGGGUAAAUAUUAUACAGGAAAUCUGGAUCGCUCCAAAGGAAUUAAUUUUCAUUCAAUAACAUUAUCAAAAUCAACAGUAAACAUCACUCACCAACUUCAACGAAUUUAUCGUAAACGUCAUCCAGUACUGCUUCAAUUAGCAUUUUGAUUUCAUCUAUUUUUUGUGAUUUCAAACACUCAUUCCAAAGAUGGUGUAUUUUAAAAA